GUUAAGUUAGCAUAAUCAAUGCGCUAAAUUUAGAAUUUAGAAAGGUAAUGGUAAUUUACACUUAAUA
rnacentral:tRNA from 1 species